UGUCCUACUCACAUAAAAAUUAAUGGAUGGAAGGCAAAAGCUAUUUACUAUCACAAAAUGCAAAAUAAUUCCCAUAGGUAAAUGAAAUCCACACACUAACGAAGCCCCGCUAAGAUAAGAGCGGGGGAAAAAAAAAAAAAUUAAUAGUCUUUGAGAAAAUAGUGCUGAGGCCAGAAAUAAAGCAAAUCGUGUGUUAAUAUUCCUUGUUAGAAGCGUUAAAAGUACAGGUCCCAAAGAAAAUAUUCAAGCUAUACGAGUAUAUGGCACAGGUCAGACCUUAUCGGAAUUAUGCUGUGUAAUAUUUGGUCCCCAUAUAACAGAAAAGAUAUAGAUCGUACAGAGAAUGAUGACUAAUCAGGACAUGAUAAGAAAUAUCGGAUUCAAGCAUGAUAGUUUGACUUAAAAAGAUGAUAGGUGGAAACAGGUAGGUAAGUUUCAUACAGUGACUACUACGUGUACGCUUAUUGCAGCUUCCCUUAUUCUCCUGCUGUUCUUAACCAGCAUUAAGUAUUAUUCUCUCUCUCUCUCUCUCUCUCUCUCUCUCUCUCUCUCUCUCUCUCUCUCUCUCUCUCUCUCUCUCUCUCUCUCUCUUUCACACACACACACACACACACACACACACUGGCGUAGCUAAGCAAACGCAAACAUCCCCGAAUGCCUUCCUGUGUUAGCUAUCUAAAUUAGUUAUAUAAAAUCCCAGCCAACUGUCGUUCAUCUUGCCCGCCUCUCAAGCCAGUGCUACCCAUUAUAAACAGUGUGCCAGUGCGUGUACCGCCCCACCGGUGCCCCAAUGACAGUCAUGUGCCCCUAACCAGGAAAACGCAAAAAAGAGAAAAGAACAAAUGACUGGAAAAUUGUAGGACAGAAGGCAAAUGACCACCAACACACCUCAUGCACUGCACCACCUCCUCCGCCCGCUGCUGCUGCCCCCUCAGCUGCCGGGCCCUCAGAGCUGCUUCUGGGUGCCCGGGGUGGCAGGGGGCUGGGGCGUAGUACCAGAGACGGCUGCGGCAGUGGAGGCAGCCUUCUGCUUGAGCAUGGUCCAAUCAAAGGUAUAGUCAUAUUGGUGGUGCAAAGUGCGGAACAGAAUGCGGAAUAACUGCCGCAGAUACAUGUAGUCAGGAG